AUAAAAUCAGAUUUAUUUUCAGACUCUGUCAAAAUCUGUAAGUAAAAACAGAACUGAUCUCUUUGUGUCGGGGUUUUGGUUUGUGUGUGUGUGUGUGUGUGUAUUUGUUUCCAACAUUGUGUUCAGUUUCCCAGAUGGUGCUGGAGCUCUCAGAUGCACUGGUGGACAGGUGCGCCUUGUUAUGCUGAUUACUUGGAGGAGGAUUUAAGCAGGAGGCUGCCAGCGUUCGAUGCGAGAGUGUUUGCCUACAGUGGUUAUUGACCUUUUGGAUUACUGCUUCAGAAGACUCUGUGGCUAAAAGCUACCUACUAGACUUUGCUUCCUGGAUUAUUUCUUCGACUGGAUUUCGUUCUGGCUGGCAGCCAUCCUGAUUCCUUCGUACAUCUGGACAUUAAGUGUAUCCUGUCCGCCCACCCACGUAAGCCAUCUCAAUUUGGAUUACCUCACGGUUUUUGCUCCACCUCAGAACAGCACCAGGAGGAAACAUCAAGACGAACACUGCUUCUAUGGACUUGAAGCCCGAAUCCCUCAACCCCUGGCGACCUGACUACUUCAAACCAUUGGAGAUUUACCGGUUCUCGUUCCUGAUAAUUAGUUUCACAAUAAACAUCAUUUUACUGAU